rnacentral:rRNA from 1 species
AUUGAACGCUGGCGGCAUGCUUUACACAUGCAAGUCGAACGGGAACAGGGAGCUUGCUCCGCUGACGAGUGGCGAACGGGUGAGUAAUAUAUCGGAACGUACCCAGAAGUGGGGGAUAACGUAGCGAAAGUUACGCUAAUACCGCAUACGAUCCACGGAUGAAAGUAGGGGACCUUCGGGCCUUAUGCUUUUGGAGCGGCCGAUAUCUGAUUAGCUAGUUGGUGAGGUAAAGGCUCACCAAGGCGACGAUCAGUAGCUGGUCUGAGAGGACGACCAGCCACAAUGGAACUGAGACACGGUCCAGACGCCUACGGGAGGCAGCAGUGGGGAAUUUUGGACAAUGGGCGCAAGCCUGAUCCAGCAAUGCCGCGUGAGUGAAGAAGGCCUUCGGGUUGUAAAGCUCUUUUGUCAGGGAAGAAACGGCUGUGGCUAAUAUCCACGGCUAAUGACGGUACCUGAAGAAUAAGCACCGGCUAACUACGUGCCAGCCGCCGCCGUAACAC